CAGGAAUAUCUGCCAUACUAUUUGGAACGGAUGAUAUUCCUUUCAAGCCAGUGAGACAAUUCAGAGUAGUGAAGAGCAAUGGCUACUCAUGCUGAAGCCCUGCUUCCCAGGAAAUGGCCAGCCACCAGUUGCUGCUGGGGGGAGAAAAGCUGAAAAAGGGGACUGAUAAAGUGGCAUCCAGCCAAGGUCAACACACCAUAUGGGCCAAUGCAUAUUGUCCACUAAUCUUACUUUUGAUGCAAAUGUUUUGGGUUUGUUUUAGUAAGAAGUAUUUUUGUUAAUUUGUACAUGGGGAGAAAUGGGAUACCCCAAAGAGCACCAGGAAAAUGCUUCCCUUGAGCUCAGCACCACAGGAGAUUGAUCAUUCCUUUCAGACAAGCUUGCGAGAGUUGUCUGUUCAACCUCACUGAAACAAACCCACGUGUUUUGCAAUAAAACUGGCAACC